rnacentral:ncRNA from 1 species
GUUUCAGGGCGGGGUGCAAUUCCCCACCGGCGGUACAGCCCGCGACCGCAUACCUUGGUAUGCGCUGAUUUGGUGAGAUUCCAAAGCCGACGGUAUAGUCCGGAUGAAAGAAA